ACGUACAAGCAGUGGGAGCACCCUUUGGGGUGUGACUGCGUACCUUUUGUAUAAUGGGUCAGCGACUUAUAUUCUGUAGCAAGGUUAACCGUAUAGGGGAGCCGGAGGGAAACCGAGUCUUAACCGGGCGUUAAGUUGCAGGGUAUAGACCCGAAACCCGGUGAUCUAGCCAUGGGCAGGUUGAAGGUUGGGUAACACUAACUGGAGGACCGAACCGACUAAUGUUGAAAAAUUAGCGGAUGACCUGUGGCUGGGGGUGAAAGGCCAAUCAAACCGGGAGAUAGCUGGUUCUCCCCGAAAGCUAUUUAGGUAGCGCCUCGUGAAUUCAUCUCCGGGGGUAGAGCACUGUUUCGGCUAGGGGGCCAUCCCGGCUUACCAACCCGAUGCAAACUGCGAAUACCGGAGAAUGUUAUCACGGGAGACACACGGCGGGUGCUAACGUCCGUCGUGAAGAGGGAAACAACCCAGACCGCCAGCUAAGGUCCCAAAGUCAUGGUUAAGUGGGAAACGAUGUGGGAAGGCCCAGACAGCCAGGAUGUUGGCUUAGAAGCAGCCAUCAUUUAAAGAAAGCGUAAUAGCUCACUGGUCGAGUCGGCCUGCGCGGAAGAUGUAACGGGGCUAAACCAUGCACCGAAGCUGCGGCAGCGACGCUGAUGCGUUGUUGGGUAGGGGAGCGUUCUGUAAGCCUGCGAAGGUGGCCUGUGAGGGUUGCUGGAGGUAUCAGAAGUGCGAAUGCUGACAUAAGUAACGAUAAAGCGGGUGAAAAGCCCGCUCGCCGGAAGACCAAGGGUUCCUGUCCAACGUUAAUCGGGGCAGGGUGAGUCGACCCCUAAGGCGAGGCCGAAAGGCGUAGUCGAUGGGAAACGGGUUAAUAUUCCCGUACUUGGUGUUACUGCGAAGGGGGGACGGAGAAGGCUAUGUUGGCCGGGCGACGGUU
rnacentral:rRNA from 1 species